AUUAGCUCAGCUGUAGAGCGCUCGCUUUGCAUGCGAGGGUUGGGGGUUCGAUUUCCCCAU
rnacentral:tRNA from 1 species